rnacentral:rRNA from 1 species
ACACGACUACAUUAGAUACCCCGGUAGUCCUAGCCGUAAACGAUACUCGCUAGGUGUCGGCCACGGUGCGACCGUUGUCGGUGCCGUAGGGAAGCCGUGAAGCGAGCCACCUGGGAAGUACGGCCGCAAAGGCUGAAACUUAAAGGGAAUUGGCGGGGGAGCACAACAACGGGUGGAGCUUGCGGUUUAAUUGGAUUCAACGCCGGAAAUCUUACCGGGACCGACAGCAACAUGAAGGCCAGGCUGAAGACUUUGCCGGAUUAGCUG